GACAGAGGGUGCGAACGUUGUUCGGAAUUACUGGGCGUAAAGCGCGUGUAGGCGGCAGCGCAAGUCGGGCGUGAAAUCCCACGGCUCAACCGUGGAAGUGCACUCGAAACUGCGCAGCUAGAGUCCUGGAGAGGAAGGUGGAAUGCUUGGUGUAGAGGUGAAAUUCGUAGAUAUCAAGCGGAACACCGGUGGCGAAGGCGACCUCUGGACAGUGGCUGACGCUGAGGCGCGACAGCGUGGGGAGCAAACGAGGAUUAGAUGA
rnacentral:rRNA from 1 species